rnacentral:rRNA from 1 species
GGGUUGUGAGGUUAAGCGACUAAGCGUACACGGUGGAUGCCCUGGCAGUCAGAGGCGAUGAAGGACGUGCUAAUCUGCGAAAAGCGUCGGUAAGGUGAUAUGAACCGUUACAGCCGGCGAUGUCCGAAUGGGGAAACCCAGUGUGAUUCGUCACACUAUCGUUAACUGAAUACAUAGGUUAACGAGGCGAACCGGGGGAACUGAAACAUCUAAGUACCCCGAGGAAAAGAAAUCAACCGAGAUUCCCCCAGUAGCGGCGAGCGAACGGGGAGCAGCCCAGAGUCUGAAUCAGCUUGUGUGUUAGUGGAACGGUCUGGAAAGUCCGACGGUACAGGGUGAUAGUCCCGUACACCAAAAUGCACAGGCUGUGAACUCGAAGAGUAGGGCGGGACACGUGGUAUCCUGUCUGAAUAUGGGGGGACCAUCCUCCAAGGCUAAAUACUCCUGACUGACCGAUAGUGAACCAGUACCGUGAGGGAAAGGCGAAAAGAACCCCGGCGAGGGGAGUGAAAAAGAACCUGAAACCGUGUACGUACAAGCAGUGGGAGCACCUUCGGGUGUGACUGCGUACCUUUUGUAUAAUGGGUCAGCGACUUAUAUUCUGUAGCAAGGUUAACCGUAUAGGGGAGCCGCAGGGAAACCGAGUCUUAACUGGGCGUUAAGUUGCAGGGUAUAGACCCGAAACCCGGUGAUCUAGCCAUGGGCAGGUUGAAGGUUGGGUAACACUAACUGGAGGACCGAACCGACUAAUGUUGAAAAAUUAGCGGAUGACUUGUGGCUGGGGGUGAAAGGCCAAUCAAACCGGGAGAUAGCUGGUUCUCCCCGAAAGCUAUUUAGGUAGCGCCUCGUGAAUUCAUCUUCGGGGUAGAGCACUGUUUCGGCUAGGGGGUCAUCCCGACUUACCAACCCGAUGCAAACUACGAAUACCGAAGAAUGUUAUCACGGGAGACACACGGCGGGUGCUAACGUCCGUCGUGAAGAGGGAAACAACCCAGACCGCCAGCUAAGGUCCCAAAGUCAUGGUUAAGUGGGAAACGAUGUGGGAAGGCACAGACAGCCAGGAUGUUGGCUUAGAAGCAGCCAUCAUUUAAAGAAAGCGUAAUAGCUCACUGGUCGAGUCGGCCUGCGCGGAAGAUGUAACGGGGCUAAACCAUGCACCGAAGCUGCGGCAGCGACACUAUGUGUUGUUGGGUAGGGGAGCGUUCUGUAAGCCUGCGAAGGUGUGCUGUGAGGCAUGCUGGAGGUAUCAGAAGUGCGAAUGCUGACAUAAGUAACGAUAAAGCGGGUGAAAAGCCCGCUCGCCGGAAGACCAAGGGUUCCUGUCCAACGUUAAUCGGGGCAGGGUGAGUCGACCCCUAAGGCGAGGCCGAAAGGCGUAGUCGAUGGGAAACAGGUUAAUAUUCCUGUACUUGGUGUUACUGCGAAGGGGGACGGAGAAGGCUAUGUUAGCCGGGCGACGGUUGUCCCGGUUUAAGCAUGUAGGCUGGUUAUCCAGGCAAAUCCGGAUAAUCAAGGCUGAGGUGUGAUGACGAGGCACUACGGUGCUGAAGUAACAAAUGCCCUGCUUCCAGGAAAAGCCUCUAAGCAUCAGGUAACAUCAAAUCGUACCCCAAACCGACACAGGUGGUCAGGUAGAGAAUACCAAGGCGCUUGAGAGAACUCGGGUGAAGGAACUAGGCAAAAUGGUGCCGUAACUUCGGGAGAAGGCACGCUGGUGUGUAGGUGAAGCCCCUGCGGGUGGAGCUGAGACCAGUCGAAGAUACCAGCUGGCUGCAACUGUUUAUUAAAAACACAGCACUGUGCAAACACGAAAGUGGACGUAUACGGUGUGACGCCUGCCCGGUGCCGGAAGGUUAAUUGAUGGGGUUAUCCGUAAGGAGAAGCUCUUGAUCGAAGCCCCGGUAAACGGCGGCCGUAACUAUAACGGUCCUAAGGUAGCGAAAUUCCUUGUCGGGUAAGUUCCGACCUGCACGAAUGGCGUAAUGAUGGCCAGGCUGUCUCCACCCGAGACUCAGUGAAAUUGAACUCGCUGUGAAGAUGCAGUGUACCCGCGGCAAGACGGAAAGACCCCGUGAACCUUUACUAUAGCUUGACACUGAACAUUGAGCCUUGAUGUGUAGGAUAGGUGGGAGGCUUUGAAGCGUGGACGCCAGUCUGCGUGGAGCCAACCUUGAAAUACCACCCUUUAAUGUUUGAUGUUCUAACGUUGGCCCCUUACCGGGGUUGCGGACAGUGUCUGGUGGGUAGUUUGACUGGGGCGGUCUCCUCCCAAAGCGUAACGGAGGAGCACGAAGGUUAGCUAAUCCUGGUCGGACAUCAGGAGGUUAGUGCAAUGGCAUAAGCUAGCUUGACUGCGAGCGUGACGGCGCGAGCAGGUGCGAAAGCAGGUCAUAGUGAUCCGGUGGUUCUGAAUGGAAGGGCCAUCGCUCAACGGAUAAAAGGUACUCCGGGGAUAACAGGCUGAUACCGCCCAAGAGUUCAUAUCGACGGCGGUGUUUGGCACCUCGAUGUCGGCUCAUCACAUCCUGGGGCUGAAGUAGGUCCCAAGGGUAUGGCUGUUCGCCAUUUAAAGUGGUACGCGAGCUGGGUUUAGAACGUCGUGAGACAGUUCGGUCCCUAUCUGCCGUGGGCGCUGGAGAAUUGAGGGGGCUGCUCCUAGUACGAGAGGACCGGAGUGGACGCAUCACUGGUGUUCGGGUUGUCAUGCCAAUGGCACUGCCCGGUAGCUAAAUGCGGAAGAGAUAAGUGCUGAAAGCAUCUAAGCACGAAACUUGCCCCGAGAUGAGUUCUCCCUGAGACUUUAAGUCUCCUGAAGGAACGUUAAAGACGAUGACGUUGAUAGGCCGGGUGUGUAAGCGCAGCGAUGCGUUGAGCUAACCGGUACUAAUGAACCGUGAGGCUUAACCUUACAACGCCGAAG